rnacentral:rRNA from 1 species
CCUACGGGGGGCUGCAGUGGGGAAUAUUGCACAAUGGGCGAAAGCCUGAUGCAGCAACGCCGCGUGAGCGAUGAAGGCCUUCGGGUCGUAAAGCUCUGUCCUCAAGGAAGAAAAUGACGGUACUUGGGGAGGAAGCCCCGGUAAAUUACGUGCCAGCAGCCCGGGUAAUCCGUAGGGGGUUAGCGUUUCCCGGAAUUCCGGGGCGUAAAGGGUGGGUAGGUGGUUUCUUAAGUCAGAGGUGAAAGGCUACGGCUCAACCGUAGUAAGCCUUUGAAACUGGGAAACUUGAGUGCAGGAGAGGAGAGUGGAAUUCCUAGUGUAGCGGUGAAAUGCGUAGAUAUUAGGAGGAACACCAGUUGCGAAGGCGGCUCUCUGGACUGUAACUGACACUGAGGCACGAAAGCGUGGGGAGCAAACAGGAUUAGAUACCCUUGUAGUC